rnacentral:rRNA from 1 species
GAUGAACGCUGGCGGCGUGCCUAAUACAUGCAAGUCGAGCGAAUGGAUUAAGAGCUUGCUCUUAUGAAGUUAGCGGCGGACGGGUGAGUAACACGUGAGUAACCUGCCCAUAAGACUGGGAUAACUCCGGGAAACCGGGGCUAAUACCGGAUAACAUUUUGAACCGCAUGGUUCGAAAUUGAAAGGCGGCUUCGGCUGUCACUUAGGGAUGGACUCGCGUCGCAUUAGCUAGUUGGUGAGGUGACGGCUCAGCAAGGCAACGAUGCGUAGCCGACCUGAGAGGGUGAUCGGCCACACUGGGACUGAGACACGGCCCAGACUCCUACGGGAGGCAGCAGUAGGGAAUCUUCCGCAAUGGACGAAAGUCUGACGGAGCAACGCCGCGUGAGUGAUGAAGGCUUUCGGGUCGUAAAACUCUGUUGUUAGGGAAGAACAAGUGCUAGUUGAAUAAGCUGGCACCCUGACGGUACCUAACCAGAAAGCCACGGCUAACUACGUGCCAGCCGCCGCGGUAA